CCCGGGAGAGAGAGGGUUGUGGGCGUCUCUGCGUGGGCGGCCUGGUGAAUUGUGGCGACCCAGGCCGGCCAGGCCCGGCUCAGCUCUCCCGAGAGAAGGCGUAGAGGUCGGCCCUCCCGGGAGCCUGGUUCCUGGACGCGACGAAUGCUUCCUGGGGCCGUGGGAAGAAAUUACAGGCGUCGGAGCACUGGCGAUGCCUGCUGAACAGUGAAAGUGCUCAAGAGCAGUUCCCCUUGCCGAGAUGCAGGUAUUGUCCCAUGAUGGGAUAGCAUCGUUCCAACACUGUGUCCACCUGUGAAUUGCCCGCCAGAGCCACCUGGAAAGAUCCUAAAAUGCUCUGUGUCUACCAUCCGAGGAACUUCCCUGGAUUCCCCUGGUGUGAAAGGCUUGCCUCAGAGUUUGCAGCCCAGCGGGACUUUCACUUCUAGGGCUACUCUGGAAGAGGUACUUUGCCACAUGAAAGAGACUUUUGCAAUCCAAACCCCAAAUUAUGUCUCCAUAAGCCUCACUCCGUUUAACAGAUAAUGUGAAUCUGGAGACAAACAGAGCCAGGCAGAGUGUUUUUAGUGGCUGCAACACGGCUCUGGAGUUGAUCAGACUCCAAAAACCAAAGAUGGAAACCAGGCUCCUCUUGUGUUGAGUUCUUUGUUCUCAGCGCUCUCAAGUGCAAAGUGUGAAUAAUCAAAGGGUCUACUGCACAAACCUCCCCUCCCCACGGCAGAGAAAUCUGUCCUGACCAGACCCUCUCUCACAUGGACCCCUCAGGCGAGGAGUAAGUUGCUCCCCUCUGUGUUUUGAAGAUACUGUGAGUUGAGAUCUGCCAUUGCUCUCCUCCCCAACACUGUGGGCAGUGCGGGGGUCAUCUGCCCACAAGGAGAUAGCCUGGUGCGUCCCUGCAUCCCCCACCCACAUCCGGUAUGUAGAGACCCAGUGUCCAUUUGGCUCUUGGGAUGUGUCUGUUGGGUGAAUGAAGGACCUUGAGCCAUGGUGCUGGUCAGUAAUGGGCAGCUGUUAUUGCAGCAGUUUUUUCUGCGUAGAAAUUAGAUAGAGGAGAACGGAGUGAACAGAGGGCAUCUCUGUAGUCACAUUCUCUUCCAUUUGGGUGAGGGAGGAGGAUUGUAUCUUUUAUCCCAUCCCUAAUUCCAGAACUCACAAUAAAGGAGGCUACAACAUUCUUUAGGUAACAUCUUGGCCAAUCUGUUCCACUGUCAGGCUCAGCUCUAGCUUCCCAGUGGAACCGUAGUGGUCAGUCAUCAAAAGUUUCCCGAGUCCCAAGCCAGGCACGGUGGCUCAUGCCUGUAAUCCUAGCACCCUGGGAGGCCGAGGCAGGUGGAUUUCUUGAACUCAGGAGUUCCAGACCAGCCUGAGCAAGAGCGAGACCCCAAUCUCAACUAAAAAUAGGAAAAUUAGCCAGGCGUGGUGUUGGGUGCCGUAGUCCCAGCUGUUCGGGAGGCCGCGGCAAGAGGAUCUCUUGAGCCCAAGAGUUUGAGGUUGCUGUGAGCUGUGAUGCCACAGCACUCUCCUCAGGGUGACUGAGUGAGACGCUAUCUCAAAAAAAAAAAAAAAAAAAAUUUUCCCAAGUCCCAGUGGCCAGUGCACCUAGCAGCCCCUCCUCUCCACCCCCAAGGAUCUGUUCCCUGGGAAGAUGUUUUAAUGAAUUCAGGCCUGCUAAUUGAAUAUGUGGUUCUGUGGCUUCAGCACAGAUGCACAGGAGACCAGGACGUGAAGACCAGAUGAAGAGGUUGAGUCAAGUCCAGGUGGCAUCUGUCAGCCUCACCUGGAUUUCCUGGCUAUUUGCCCAAACUAUCUUGUUCUCAGACUGCUCUUCCCCUGCGUCCCUGCUUUGCCUGAACUUGGCUGUGCCACACAGACCUGCCCUCAGUAUCUGUGCCCCUUGGGUGUCCUUUUUGGUCUGGCUGACCGACCAGAAACUUAGUCGGUACAGCAGGAUCCUAUCCCUGUCACUUCCCAUCCCCGUUCAGCCCUCACUCCUGCUUCCAGCUGCACUGACAUCCUUGUAAUAGUGUCUUUGCUGUGCCAGCAGGCUCUUCCCAGCUGUCCCCUCUGUCUGGAAAGCCCUGUCCCCACAUUAUCUGAAAUAAUUGGCUGACUCUUCACCCCAUUCACGACUUUGUCAAAAUGUCACCUUCUCAAUGUAGCCUCCCCAGGUUGCUUUGUUUAACAGUUUCAUCUGAGGCUCACCCAGUUCCUCCCUGCAUUCCCGAGUCUGUUACCACGAUCUACAUGUUUCUUUCUUUGCACUGCCGGCAUCACCUUCUACUGUACUGUCCAGUUUAUUAAAUUACCACAUGGAGCAUU